rnacentral:tRNA from 1 species
GCCCUGGUAGCGCAAUUGGUUAGAGCGUGGGACUUUUAAUCCCAAGGCUGCGGGUUCGAAUCCCGCCUGGGGCG